UGACCUAGCCUGGGUGCCAUUCCGAACUUAGUCCCGCCCACAACGUUUGAGGUCGGGAAGUUUGGUCUGGCAUUGCUCAAUAGUGGCGCGAGUAUGCCCGCCCAAGAUCUGGCGGGCCAAUCAAAUUGUCAGGGCGGGCUUUAUACGAUGAUGGACAGAUGAUCAACAGUAACGUAAUCAACCACGUCACCAAAGAGCACUUAGGUUGAAUUCGUUUACAACAACGAUGGUUGCUGCUGGAGAAUUGAGAUGUGUAGAUUCUGCUAUCAGGUCUGUUCUAGAAGAUAUCGACAGCGAAUUAAUUUUAAAAGAGGAACAGAGUAACGGGAUCAAGGCAUUUGUUGAUAAGAAAGAUGUUUUUGCCGAAGCAACUGAAAUGGGCGAUGCAACUCAGCGUGCACGACGAGGUGGAUAUAGCCAGCGGUCGUUGCCAGAUCCUUUUUUGAAGCCCGGAAUCCUGGCUGCUGAAAAACAAGUGGAGGGACAUGCUAGGCUCCGAUGUUUUUCAAGCCAACGUAAUGGGUAUCGUCGUGGCCGAAGUUCAUCUAACUUACAAAUGGUACAUCUGUGCUGGCAUUGACCACUUCUGCUGAUCGGGAAUCCAGAGCCAGGGUUAUGAAACAGCUUCAGAUGGACAAUCCAAUCAUUUUGGCUCUGAGCCCAAACAGAACAAACAUCAGACUGGGUCUGAUUCAAGUACCUGGCCAUACACUGGAGUGCCUACACUGGAUUGUGAGGGAUGUUAGUACAAAGCUUGACCCCGCAGUUAAGACGGUACUUUAUAAUGGAGUCACUAGUUGUCUGCGGAAAGCUUUGUACUGCCAUUUAGAGGAACACACCACAUCUGUUGAUCUAGGACAUCUGUGCUGCACUCACUGUCAUUCUGUUUGUUCUUGUGAACCUGAAGGUUGUGGGGAGCUAAUCCCCAAAUAUGAACACUUUCAAGGGGAGGUUUCAUCACACCACAAACACAGAAUAGUCACACCUGAGGGCACACUUUUGAUCAGGGAACUGUUACAAACUUACAGGAGUAGUUUACUUCAGGACCAUACAAACAUACCACUUUACACAGUCGACACAGCCUGUACUGGUUUUGGAGAUUAACUCAUUGAUCGGUUUUAGAACAGUGCACACAGAUAUUUGACCUGGACUUCAUUAUCCAUAAUCACCCUACAUACAAACUCUGGAACAUGCAAUGGAACAAACACUAUGAAUUAUGCAUGAGGUUUUUGAUGACAUCGAACAAAGUCAAACUAAUUUGUUUGAUGACAGUGUUGUUCAGGAUGACCGUGUUCAGGUUGACAUGGAUUACACUGGUUACUUUGAUGACGAGGAUGAGGAUAAGAUACAAUUAUCACCAAGUAACUUGGAAUCAGGCUUGUCAAUGUUGAAGAUCUCAGACUAGCUUCAAAUUCAGGCUCAAAUUUGUAGAUUCAGGGUCCUGUUGUGCAAAUGCCUUUUUUUUUACCUCUGUUACAUUAAUAUUUUUGAAUAAAAUUAAAAUGGUUUAUACUU